GGCUUUUAUGGGUUAGUAGUUGCUAUUUAAUAUAUUGUUUCUAUGGUAGAAUGUACUCCAGAUCAACCCAUUUUUUUCCCAUUAGAUUAUAGUUUCAUGAAGGCAGAAAACAGAUGUAUCUUUUCCAUGGUUGUAUGCUGAAAGCACAGAGAGAAACAAAAACAGAAACGAAGAUAUCCAUGGCACCUAAUGUUAUAAGAAGAAGAAAGCACUUGUAAUCACAGGGGUACUGAGAAAAGAAGAACCUCACAUACUUCCGGAAAACUGCAUGAAAAGUACAGAAAUUCAGUGUCCAGAUGUUUCAGAAUCCAGAUGGCCUAAGAAUCCUCUAUCACCCAGAAAGGAGGAAAAUGUGCAUGAAAGUGGAACAUUUAAAAGAAAAAAUAAUUUAGCUUUGGCUAUGUAGUGACAACAUACAGAGCUCGAGAAAAAGCUUCCUCUCCUAAAGCAGCAACUUAAUAAAAGGCAUGUUAUAGGCUUUAUCA
rnacentral:lncRNA from 1 species